rnacentral:tRNA from 1 species
CCCGAGUGGCCAAAGGGGGCAGACUGUAAAUCUGUUGCGUUAGCUUCGAUGGUUCAAAUCCAUCUUCCUCCACCA